AUUGAAUCAAGACAUGUUGGUUUUAAUUUUGACAUGAGAUAGACUGGUUCUAAAACUGAUGAUGUCGAGGCUGGUUUCCCAAGGUCCUGAUUGUGGGGGACUUCCAUGCCUAUGAGUAUUGAUUCUUCUCUUAGUAUAUACAAUUCAUGAGUCAGCAUUUGGUCCUAGUUAUGGUAUCAUUUUAUUGGUCAGUUUUGUAUCAGCUUUGAAUAACUGUUUUGGUUUCGUUGUUCUACAGGGAUAUUUGGGAAUUUCUAUUUUUAUGCUUUAAUCUUUUUUGGCAUGAGGUGGCUGCUCACAGACGUGAAACAUGCAUUCUCAUGCUUGUCAGCCCAAGGUUUUACUAUCAUGAUUGGUAAUUCUCAUCAAGGACCAUGUAGUUUUGAUAGGAUAUAAAGUAGUCAAAGUGGUCAAAUAGUCAUGGAAAAGCUAUAAUUCCACAUGUUAUCAGAGAAGUGUUGCAGCCCUCUGUCAUAUUUGCAUGCUGUCCAAUUGCAAUGGAAGUUCUUGUAUGUGAUGAAAUAUGAUGUGGCUGUCUGCAAUUGCACCACUUAAUCAACCUAGUCAUCCUUCCACAUUCACUUACAGUCAGUCUCACUAUCUGAUCUCUAUAGUCCAAUGCAUAUAAAUCCUAGAUGACAAUGGUCCACAGCUCCUAUAUUGUGGAUUUCACUUGUCUGCCUGUUCACUACUGGUUAGUCUCACAAUCUUAUCUCAACAGUCCAAUGCAUCAAAAUCCUAGAAGACAGUGCUUUUCAGAACCUCUAUUGUGGGUUUCACGUGUCUUUGGUUGAUUUUUGAAGUUUCAUUUUUUCAUGACCACCGGUAAUUUGCCAUUAUAUUGCAUCAGAAUCAGAACUACUCUUUCCAUUUUCAUUGGCAGUGGAAUAGUUAUUGUUCUUCAGAUUCGGUGAGUUGGUUCAUGAUUAUUGAGAGUGUUGAUAUAGAUGAAUCAUUUUUUUUUUUGCCUUAACUUUCGGUUAGGAUUCUUUUCUCAUUUGACAUUAAGUUAGUUUUGAUAUUUACUUUUGAUUUCACUCGGAUUGAGCAGUUUUAACAUCAGUGUUGGAUUUUUGAGUUGGCUUGCUUGUUAUUGACUGAGAUUUUUGGAUGAAUUUUCUGGUUUACAUAGACAAAUUACAGGUUCUUGUAUUGCUAUUUGGGAUUCAAAGGGUUGAUUUGAACUUGACAUGGCUUAUAUAUGCCUAAUUCAAAAGGUGGUUCUCAUGGCUGUUCAGAUUCCUAUUUAAAUUUUAUGCAUGAUGAUUGAGAACUACAUACAUCUAAAUCCAUUAGUUGACUUUUCAGGCGGACUGGGUUUUUUUUCUGGGCACAAGACAUUUCAGGUUUGUUGGUGGUUUUGGAGUAUUUUUUUCCAAUUAAAGUGGAUUUAAUUUGAAGCAAUCACAGUCAUUGCAGUAAAUUGGGUGGUAAGGAUUGGAUAUUAUCUGAGUGUCUGCUUGUCUGAGACCUCUAGUUAUAUCUUUGGUUUAUUCCUGAACUUAUUCAGGGUAAUUUAAUUAUUGUGGCAUAUAAAGUUAGACCAAAGUAAUCAUAGAAUAUCUCCUCUAGAUGCAUACUUUAUUGGAGGAAAUAUCUUGUAUCAGCUCUAUCCUGACAGCCACUUUGAAGCAACUUAAGCCUCAUAAUUGCAUAUUGUCCAGGUACAAUAGAAGUUCUUAUAUGGAAUGAAAAGUGACGUGGCUAUCUAAUAUCAGUUGUCCAUCCAUUCAUCCUCUGCCUAUUCACUUGCCAGUCAGUUUCACUACCUAUUCUCAAUAUUCCAAGUGCAACAAAAUUCUAGGAAAGCAAUGGCUUGCAACCCUUUUACUGUGGGUUUGAUCCGUCUUUUGUUAGUUUCGAACUCAAGAGAGGUUCUUGUUCCUUUUUGAUUGGCAGCAGAAAAUUAUUAUUGCUCUACAUAUACAAUGAGAUGGUACAUGGUCUUUUACUUUUGAGAAUGUUGAUAUUUCUUUUCUCAUUUUGAUUUCGAGUGUAUUGAUUACUGCUCUGUAGAUCUGAUGAGUCAGUACUUGGUUUUUGAGGGUGAUGAGAUAUCAGUGUUUUCCCUAUGUAUUUAGUUUGGAUUACUCUCUAGUAUAAUGAUUUUCAAGUUAGUGUUGGGCUUGUUUUGAUUUCUUCUUCUUUAGCAGCUUUUAAAUCAGCAUUACAUCUCUGAAUUGGUUUGCUUAUUAUUCUAGGAGAUUUGUGGAUACUUUUCUGUUUAUCCCUUGUUCUUAUUCUUAUCUUCUUUUCUUUCCUGAAAUUAUCCACUCCUUGAACCUAUCAGACAAAUUUCAGGUUCUAUUGUUAAUUCUCUGGUUCAGAAGGUUGAUAUAAGCCAGAUGGAGAUAACUAAUUCAUAGGGGAUUUUCAUGGUGCUAUUGAGUUUAGUCAUGUUUUGUACAUGAUUGAGAAGAUCUGGGUUUUUGAAUCCAUUUAUCAAGUUGUCAGGUGGACUGGGCAAAUUUGGUAGAGUGUGUUGGUUUGGUGACAUUCUGAGUUGUUUUUUUUUUGUACAAUUUGCCUUUUGCUAAUUUUAGCAGAUUUAAGUUCCACCAAUCUAUUACCUAUAAAACUAUUUUAUUUUUUGCUUAUUAAAAAAAAUCCUCGUGGUACUGACUUUGUUUGUCUGGGUUUGAUCUCUCUUUUGUUUUUGCAUUAGAUUGUAUCAGAAUCAAGAUCUACUCUCUUCCCAUCUGAGGGUGCUCAGAUGGUUGGGUUUGCAUUAGACUUCUCUUUGGAUUCUUAUCUGAUUUAAAGAAAUUUUAAUCAGUUUUCGAUGUCACUUCCUGAAUUUAUUAAUGCUUUAUUCUUUUAUGUGGGGAUUGUACAUUUUCAGGAUUCCUACGUUGAUUUAAACUAUAGAUGGAUAUAAUGAACAAUUUGCAGCUUGCUCCAUGAUUCAACCCAAAGCUUGUGGGGAAUUUUCAUUAAGGUCUGUGGUAGAUUCCAAUCCGCUUUGUAUGUGGGUCCUAUAUAUUAUGUAGUUUUUUGUUUUUUGGCAGUGGAUUUACUUUGCAUCUGCCACACUGAGAUUUUUGGGUUUGAGAUGUUAUUCAACUCUGUACUCCAACUUUUAUCUAGUGGAUUUGUACCUUCUCCGUGGACGUAUGCCAAAGGCCGAACCACGUAAACUUGUGUGUUGUGUUAUAUAUAUCUUCUCAUCAUCUUGUUUUUGC